CAGUGAUUGAGUGAGUGAGUGAAGUGGAUACUUGGAUAGAAAGAAGUUGAUUGUAGGCUAGAAGCUGGAAAGAAAUUCCGAAUUAUUUUCAAUAACUAUUCCUUCUUUUUAUCUAAUUUUGUACUAAGUGUAUUAUGAAUGCACAAUGAUUCAUUUUAAAGACAACAAGAACAAAUCGGCACUCAGUACAAGAUGGGCGCAAAUGUCGAAACAAGAACAAAUUAUCGAGAGAAAGAAAAUGGAGAUACAGGCCAAGUUGGAGGCCCAAAAGCAGGCUGCAGCACUCGCCGCUCAAGCUAAACUAUCUAAUCCAAGCCAAAAAGAUGACAAAAACUCCGUCAACAUAUUUUCCAAUGAUGGCAGUUUUAUGAACCAAUUCAAAGCGUUGCUUGAGAAACAACAGCAAGACAAGCAAGAGAAACAAGAACAAGAAAAACAACAAACUGAAGAAGAAACAAAACAAGUUAAACAUGAGAUUAAUGAAAUACAGGCUCAACAAGAUGAUGACUUUGAUAGAGAACGUUAUGGUCCAGGAAUGGAUGAUAGAAGGAAUUCGGGAGAUAGGAGCCAGAUCCAAAGGGACAAGAAUCGGCGGUGGAAUGAAAGAGGCCGUCCCCGACCUCACAGUCCCAUAACUCCUGUUAUAGAAGACAGGAAGAAACUUGUUGAUAAUAAAAAUCCACACAGUAUCCCACCUCUUAUGCAAAUCCCUGUGAUGCCACCAAAUUCCCAACCUUCCGAUUCUGAUCGUAACCAAUGGCUUCUUGGUUCAAAGUCUGACGAAGACCCUGAUUCCAGUGCAGAGCUAAGCGCAAAUAUGGGCCCAGGUCCUUUGGGACCUGGACCUCUACCUCCAGGUAUCAUGGGUCCCAGUCUAAUGGGACCUGGUCCUGGCAUGGGACCAGGAUCAAAUAUGGGCCCUGGUCCUAAAAUGGGACCUAACUCCAACUUAGGGCCUGGACCUUUGAUGCCAGGCUCAAACAUGGGACAAGGCCCUAACAUGGGACCUGGACCUAACAUGGGACCUGGCUCGAAUAUGGGGCCAGGACCUAAUAUGGGUCCUGGAUCAAAUAUGGGACAAGGACCAAAUAUGGGCCCUGGUCCAAACAUGGGUCCUGGACCUGGUCAAAAUAUGGGUCCGGGACCUAAUAUGGGCCAUGGUCCAGGAAUGGGUCCUGGACCUAUGAUGGGUCCCAGAGGUCCUAUGCCGCCAAUGCCGCCUGGUGGCCCUAUGCCACCAUUUAUGGGAGGGCCACCCAAUUUCCCUAUGCCGCCAAACUUCAUGGGCCCGAAUGGCCCAGGUGGCCCAUGCGGUCCAAUGCCACCUAACAUGUGUGGUCCCAAUAUGGGACCUGGUGGACCUGGCCCCAAUGGUCCCAUGCCUCCAUUCUUUGGUCCGCCAUUCCCCAAUCCUAUGAUGGGACCUAAUGGUCCCCCCAAUUCGAUGAUGCCUCCGAAUUCUAUGAAUAAUUCCAAUAUGCCGUUUAUGGGUGGACGCCCACCAUUCGGCCCUAGCGGUCCUCCGAACUUUGGGAAUGGCUCUGGACCUCCUAUGCCUCCUUUCAUGCCACCUAACUCUAUGCCUCCGAAUUCCAUGCCAAUGCAUCACCCUGACUCUAAGCCUUUGGAUAACCCUCCAAUGAAACCAGAAGGGAUGACAGUACCCCCACCUAUGCCUCUGAGCCUAUUGGCAAACCUGAAAGAUAUGGAUAACUCUGCAGCACCCUUCAAGCCAUCACAAGUUCUCUCUGCAGAUUCGUUGCCGCCGUCAGUACUCCGCGCAGCCGGCGAAGUCGCGUGCAACGGCGACCACUGGGAAAAUGUCCUGAAAGCAAUUCACUCACAAGAUCAAAAUUUGUGGUUCCUUCACAACACAAAUUCGAACGAGUACAAGGUGUUUAGAGAUCUCGUUGGUAAGAUAAGAGCUGAACAGGGCGACAAGAAGCCUGAAGUCAAGCCUGAGGACAAAUAUGAACCAGAAUUCAGUCUGGAAGACGACGAUAGUAAUGAUGAUUACAGAUAUAACAAGGAUGAUAGUACAGACAGACCAUUCAAACGUGAGCAAGCCAGCUCUCAAAGCGACGAGGAAUCGGACAGCAAGCGAGAGAGACGUAAGAAGAAGAAGUCUAGAUGGAGUGAUGAGCCGCCGGCCGCUGAUAUUAAACCGCCCGGUGUGGUCGCUCCCAUGCCUGGUCUGUUACCAGGAGCUAAAUUGGCUAAAAUAGACGAAGAAGGCAUAAAGCUGAGCACAGUGAACCGCAAUAAUCAAGCGUUGAUGCAAUAUGCUAUGACCAACUACGGUACUACCAACUUAAGUGCUGAAGAUUGGAAGAAGUGUGAAGAUAAUUUCAAGCUUAAUCUUUUGUAUCAGGACAUGUUAAAGAAGCGCCAAGAAGUGGAGCGUUUGGCCGCCGCUGGCAAAUACAAGUAUGAAUACGACAGCGACGAAGACACCGCAGAGGGUACCUGGGAACAUAAGUUAAGAGCUAAAGAAAUGAAUGCAACUGAGAAAUGGGCGGACGAGUUAACAAAACAGGCGGCUGGAAAGCAUCACAUCGGAGAUUUUUUACCGCCAGAAGAACUUAGAAAAUUCAUGGAGAAAUACUCGGCGUUCAAAAGUGGCAAGGAGCCAGAUUUGAGCGACUACAAAGAAUUCAAGUUGAAGGAAGACAAUGUUGGUUUCAAAAUGCUACAAAAGCUGGGCUGGACUGAAGGACAGGGCCUCGGAGCUGAGGGUUCAGGAAUCGUAGAACCUAUAAACAAAGCAAAUCAGCCCGUAGCGAACUUGGGUCUCGGCGCAUCCACCUCUGACGUUGUAUCGGCCGAGGACGAUGAAUUCGACGCCUAUAGGAAACGGAUGAUGCUCGCCUAUCGCUUUAGGCCAAACCCUUUGAACAAUCCACGAAGACCGUAUUAUUAAGAAGAAUUUAUGAAGACUUAUUAUAUUCCCGUAGCUAGGCAUGUUAUUAUGUAAAGGCGUAAGCUUGUUUCUGCGGACUUUACUAUCUUAGGUAUUAUUCCUUUUUAUGAAUGGUUGCUAAUAAUGUUCUAAUUAUGCUGCCAAAUAUAUGUAUUUAUGCUUAUCAGUUACUGAAUUAGUAGGUACAUACUUAAAGUACAGUACAAAUUAUGAACCCCUUUUUGUAAAUUGUCCCCGUAUUUAUAAAUGUCGUAAAUAUUUUUGAAAAUUCGUAACUGCAUGAGAGAAAAAGAUUCGGUGAAGCAGAUUUUUUAUAAAUAUGGGGGUAAUAGCCUUUAUGUACUUACGUAAGUACAAUUUUAUAGUAUGGCGAAUCAUGAUUUUAAAUCCGUAUUCUAGAACAUUACUCAAACUUUUACUGCAUGGACAUUUAACAGCCCCGGAUCUUCAAUUUUUCUUAGGCGGGGCAAAAACUGAAAAAUGCCGCCCCGCCUACCUACUUAUGUUUAUUUUCAUCUUUAUCAUCCAUAAAAUUUCAGCUAUCAAUAUGUUGGCAGGCAGGGCCGUCUCUAGGUGCAAUCAUCACCCAAGCGCCUCCUAUGUAUUGAAAGAUUUUGAGUAGGUAGUACAUAUGUACCUACAUAUUGAUUGAAGUACUUAGAGUAGUUAGUUAGUUAGUAUAAAAAAGUCGUGGUGGCCUAGAGGGUAAAGGACCAACCUCUCAAGUAUGAGGGCGCGGGUUCGAUCCCAGGUCAGGCAAGUACCAAUGCAACUUUUCUAAGUUUGUAUGUACUUUCUAAGUAUAACUUAGACACCAUUGGCUGUGUUUCGGAUGGCACGUUAAACUGUAGGUCCCGGCUGUCAUUGAACAUCCUUGACAGUCGUUACGGGUAGUCAGAAGCCAGUAAGUCUGACACCAGUCUAACCAAGGGGUAUCGGGUUGCCCGGGUAACUGGGUUGAGGAGGUCAGAUAGGCAGUCGCUUCUUGUAAAGCACUGGUACUCAGCUGAAUCCGGUUAGACUGGAAGCCGACCCCAACAUGAUUGGGAAAAGGCUCGGAGGAUGAUGAUAUA
rnacentral:misc_RNA from 1 species